UACGUAGGGUGCGAGCGUUGUCCGGAAUUAUUGGGCGUAAAGAGCUUGUAGGCGGUUUGUCGCGUCUGCCGUGAAAAUUCGAGGCUCAACCUCGAACUUGCGGUGGGUACGGGCAGACUAGAGUGUGGUAGGGGAGACUGGAAUUCCUGGUGUAGCGGUGAAAUGCGCAGAUAUCAGGAGGAACACCAAUGGCGAAGGCAGGUCUCUGGGCCACUACUGACGCUGAGAAGCGAAAGCAUGGGGAGCGAACAGG
rnacentral:rRNA from 1 species